rnacentral:misc_RNA from 1 species
ACAAAAAAAAGUUGAAAUUUUGGGGUUUAGGAGUAAGAGUUGAAGGAUUUAACGAUUUGGGGUUGUAAAAAGAGAGAUGAAUCCGAAUUGGGAGCUUCAGAAUUGUUGUAAUCGUGACCAAAAACUAUUUCUUGUUACCAUUGGUGUUUUCACUGUCGCCAUUCUUGUUUUAUGGAGGACAUUUCUUCUGACACCUUUCAAGCUCAUUACUGUAUUUCUUCAUGAAGCAAGUCAUGCUAUCGCUUGUAAGCUCACAUGCGGUCAGGUGGAAGGAAUGAAAGUCCAUGCCAAUGAGGGGGGAGUAACACAAACACGUGGUGGUGUUUAUUGGUUGAUCUUGCCUGCUGGA